rnacentral:rRNA from 1 species
GAUGAACGCUGGCGGCGUGCCUAAUACAUGCAAGUCGAGCGAACGGACGAGAAGCUUGCUUCUCUGAUGUUAGCGGCGGACGGGUGAGUAACACGUGGAUAACCUACCUAUAGGACUGGGAUAACUUCGGGAAACCGGAGCUAAUACCGGAUAAUAUUUUGAACCGCAUGGUUCAAAAGUGAAAGACGGUCUUGCUGUCACUUAUAGAUGGAUCCGCGCUGCAUUAGCUAGUUGGUAAGGUAACGGCUUACCAAGGCAACGAUGCAUAGCCGACCUGAGAGGGUGAUCGGCCACACUGGAACUGAGACACGGUCCAGACUCCUACGGGAGGCAGCAGUAGGGAAUCUUCCGCAAUGGGCGAAAGCCUGACGGAGCAACGCCGCGUGAGUGAUGAAGGUCUUCGGAUCGUAAAACUCUGUUAUUAGGGAAGAGCAUAUGUGUAAGUAACUGUGCACAUCUUGACGGUACCUAAUCAGAAAGCCACGGCUAACUACGUG